AGCGAACGCUGGCGGCAGGCCUAACACAUGCAAGUCGAGCGCUCUAGCAAUAGAGAGCGGCGCACGGGUGAGUAGCGCGUAGGAAUCUACCUUGUAGUACGGAACAACAGUUGGAAACGACUGCUAAUACCGUAUACGCCCUUCGGGGGAAAGAAUUUCGCUAUAAGAUGAGCCUGCGUUAGAUUAGCUAGUUGGUGAGGUAAUGGCUCACCAAGGCUCCGAGCUAUAGCUGGUCUGAGAGGAUGAUCAGCCACACUGGGACUGAGACACGGCCCAGACUCCUACGGGAGGCAGCAGUGGGGAAUAUUGGGCAAUGGGCGCAAGCCUGACCCAGCCAUGCCGCGUGAGUGAUGACGGCCUUAGGGUUGUAAAGCUCUUUUAGUGGUGAGGAUGAUGACGGUAACCACAGAAAAAGCCCCGGCUAACUUCGUGCCAGCCGCCGCCGUAA
rnacentral:rRNA from 1 species